rnacentral:rRNA from 1 species
AGUGAACGCUGGCGGCAGGCCUAAUACAUGCAAGUCGAACGGCAGCACAGCAGAGCUUGCUCUGUGGGUGGCGAGUGGCGGACGGGUGAGGAAUACGUGGGAAUCUGCCCAGUCGUGGGGAUAACGUAGGGAAACUUACGCUAAUACCGCAUGCGCCCUUCGGGGGAAAGCCGGGGACCUUCGGGCCUGGCGCGAUUGGAUGAGCCCACGUCGGAUUAGCUAGUUGGCGGGGUAAAGGCCCACCAAGGCGACGAUCCGUAGCUGGUCUGAGAGGAUGAUCAGCCACACUGGAACUGAGACACGGUCCAGACUCCUACGGGAGGCAGCAGUAGGGAAUAUUGGACAAUGGGCGCAAGCCUGAUCCAGCCAUGCCGCGUGAGUGAAGAAGG